CUAGGUUGGUGAGGUAAGGGCUCACCAAGGCAACGAUCCCUAGCUGGUCUGAGAGGAUGAUCAGCCACACUGGAACUGAGACACGGUCCAGACUCCUACGGGAGGCAGCAGUGGGGAAUAUUGCACAAUGGGCGCAAGCCUGAUGCAGCCAUGCCGCGUGUAUGAAGAAGGCCUUCGGGUUGUAAAGUACUUUCAGCAGUGAGGAAGGUUCAUACGUUAAUAGCGUAUGGAUUUGACGUUAGCUGCAGAAGAAGCACUGGCUAACUCCGUG
rnacentral:rRNA from 1 species